rnacentral:lncRNA from 1 species
UUUAUUUGUGUUUCUAUUUAUGGUUUAUUCGUUGGAGAAUUUACUCCGAGUGAAUUUAAGAUGAUUAUCGGUUUAAUUUUAUUUACAUCGCUUCUCCUUGUAAUUUCUUGUAUGAUUAAUGUAAACGGUUUUUAAAUUAUGAAGUUCAUAAUAAAUGAUUCAUUUUAAAAUUGCGAAAUUCUAAAAAAUAAAUAAAAAUAUAUAUAUAUAUAUAGUCAUUUUAGACGAAGAUAUAUAUAUAUAUAUCAACGCUUGUCUAUAUGUAAGAAUAAUAGUUAUUUGAUGAAUUAAAUUUUGCUUAUUAUACUUUAAUAUGCUUCAUGGUUUAAUGGUAUUAAGGAAACAUACUUUAUGAUUCAUGGUCUAACAUCAUAAAAGAAAUUAUUUGUAAUCGGUUAGUUUUGUAGUCGAUUAGUCUUUGGUCUAAUAUCAUAAAAGAAUUUGGAUUAUAUGUUGAUAUUUACUAAUGUAAUGGCCAUGUUUAUAUGAGCAAAAUUUAAAGUUUUCAGGAUUGUGUAUUCUCUCGGAAAGAUAUGUACAAGUUAUCAGCCAAUUCAGAAACGUGAACAGCUGAAACUUUCAUCGCCGAUAUACUUCUGUUUAUAAGAUAAGUAUUUUUAUGCUUUAUAUACAAGUUUAACAAACUUGAUUAGAUAAAUCAAUUUGCAUGAAGUUGGCAGUGAUAUAAAUUUGUUCAUUAAAUUGAUUGAUAGGUUAAACUUUGUUAAAAAGCAUGAGAGUAAUAAUAUAGUCUAUAUAAUAAUUACUAUGAAAGUUUUAUUUAUUUUCUGAUAUAAUAAGACACCUUUGUUAAUACAUAUUUAUAUAUAUUUGAAAUAUUUUGAUUUUAUUACCAUUUAUAUUGAGGAUUUUAAGUUUAAAGCUUGACUCUAAAAGAUCCAUAAGUUUUGGAAGAUAAUAUAUAUAAAAAAGGUAUUAUCACCUGAAGUGAUUACCUAAAGCUCAUUUUGUAUUUUGCAUUUAAAGAUUACAAGACCUGAAGUCUGUAAAUAAAGCCAACUAUGUUGGAUGUUAAGUUUAAAAGUAAAAUUUCUUCAAGAAAUUUUUUUUUAUGAUGCAUAUAUAUUGAAAAAUAUCUAUUGAUAAAUCACGUCUAGUUGAUUAUGAUUCAUUCUCCUGAAGAGAAUAUGACAUUUAAAAAACUCAUAAAUAGUGGUUUUAGACGUGAGCAUAAAUGAGGUCAAGGUCCAAAGAGUUUCUUUAUAGAACUCAUACUCUCACUUAAAGUUGAGAAAAUAAACAUGGUAAUAAAGAAAAGAAAUUAUGAAUUCAUCUGAAGAUGAAAGAAAAUUUAUUGUGUGUACAAUACAAGGUAGUAAAAACUUAUAGAAUGCUUAAAAAGAGGAUAUAUAUGAUGCUCCAGAAGUAUACAUAGUAUUACUGCACAUAAAAAUUUAAUUUAAAGUUCUUAAGAAUGCAAUUUAAAGUUCUUAAGGUAUUGUAUUUUUAUAAGUAUCAAAAGUUAAAAGGAUCUACGAAAAAUACAUAACCCAUGUAGGAUAUGUUGUUGAUUAAGAAAAUGAGAUACAUUCGAGAUUGAUAAACCUGUAGUAUUAUACUCUCGAGGGGAAGAGUUAAAGAAUCUCACUUUUUAUGAUAAGUCAAACAUCCAGAAGAUUAUGUUUACACUAAAACUAAGAUUAAUGAAUUUUUCUCAAAGUAAAUCCGUAAGAUUUUGAGACACUUAUGUUGAGACAAUAAGCAAACGAAAUGAUAUAUACAUUUCAAUCAGAAAUAAUUCUCAAAGCAGUAUAAGUAUUUUAGAGAAAAUAUCUACAGCCUCUUAUAUAUUGUACUACACAAAGAUUAGUAUAAUGAAGAUAAAUGUAUAGUAAACUAGAAGUUUACAUUUGGCAUGAAUCAGUUAGACCAUUUUGGUUCAUUAAUAAUGCGAAUAUAUACUUAAAGGUCAUAUGCAUAGUCAUAUAAGAACCAGAAGAUUCUUCCGAAUGAUUUGACAUAUGUUGCUUACCCAUAAGAUAAAAGGGUAAUAUGGUUUUCACCAGCCAAAAUAAGAUAUUGGCAUAAAUAACGAAGAUGUUAGUGGACUGAUCACCCACUAUGCAUUUUUAUAAUAUUGGUGAAUUCACUUCUUAAAGUCUUUAACGACUAUAGCACAUUCACUGAGAUAAGUGCUAAACAUUUUGAGCAACAUUGGAUCGCAUCAAGCCAAUAAAUAUUCACUAGUUCUCCCCAUCAUUGGUAUAGAAUCAGAAACCAAUCAUUUUCAUCUAAGAAUGUUGGAUGUUGCUCCGCCACAGAGCUUCAAAUGAAGAUGUGUUUUCAAAUGAGGUUGGAAAUAUAUGUUGGAUAUAAAUCUCUAUUGACACUUAAGAAUCCAGAGCCAUCCCCGAAAACUAUAAGUAAGGCUAUACAUGAAUUCUAAAAGUGAGUUAGUACUUCCAACAUAAGGGGGAGAAAAUAAACAGCUGGAAAAGAAAAUAAGUUGAAAUGAAUUAUCAUUGAUCCUCGGGCUAAACACAAUGUGAAAUAGAAGUCCAAAAGAUAAUUCAUUUCAAAACUUACUAAAGCAGUUGCCAGACACGACCCAUAUAAAUAUAGUGAUCAAGUCACAUAUACCAGCUGUAAAUGCUCCAAUAAGAAUAAAUGUUCUACAAGAACAAUAUCAAACUGCUAGUCACGCCUGCAGCGUGGUAGACAGAUUGGUUCCAAAGAUAAAUCCUCGUAAAUGAAAAAGGAGCAUAUAUUGAUAAUGGUCAAAACGAGGCAAUAUAGUUUUGUAUGAUCUCCAGAAGAGAAAUUAAACAUGACUGACGAAAAUUCAGGUACCUGAGACAAAUGAAGAGAUCUCAAUAAGUUAUGUCAUGUAUGAAACAAAAUGGAACCGAUAAGAAAAUUGACGUCGAUGAUAUUAUACAUGCAAAGUAGCAGUUGAUAUAAUAAAUGAGAAAGAGGAUCAUGAAAGAAAGUCUAUUGAAAAGUGUACACAAAGAAAUGAUUGGCCAAAUCAGAAAGAUGCAAUAGACAAAGAUAUAAACUUCUUGUGAAAUAGAGAAGUAUUUGGACCAGUAGUCCAUACACUAAAAGGUGUAAAACAAGUGAGAUGUAAAUGAACCGUUGCACACAAAGAAGGAUCAAUAUGAAAUUAAUUGUGAAGAGACAUAAUUUCAUGUGGUAGAUGCAACUAGUUUCAAGUUCCUUAUAGUCUGGUAAUAAAGGAAGAACUUGAAUAAAACAAUCCACUUGAAAAAUGUUAAUCCCUGAAAGUAUAAUCCAUGAAGGAUUGAUGAUAUCAAAAUCAUGUUCCCGGGAACUCUGCAUAUUCGAUCGAAUUGAAACAAACUAUUUUAUGGGAUAUAUGAAAUAUUAUAAGGUUAACAAAUGUAUCCAUUUGUAUUUAUCAAGAGAUUAUAAAUCAAUAGAAUCAUGAUUUGAAUAUAAUCAAAACUCCUGAAGAGUUAUAGAAAAAUUAUAUUUUGAAAGAAAACUCUUGACAAUACUAUAUUGUUUUUAUGUAUUCUAAACUGGAGAUCUAAAACUGAGAUGUUAUCAUAAAGAUCCUUAAAGUAUUUUAUUUAAGACGCUCGUAUAUGUUUGGUCCUGAAAUACCAUACGUAAGAGUGUUAUUUAAGAAAAUUAUUAAUCUUUUUCAUUACUGAAAGAUGUAAUUUCAUAUGAAAAGAAAGAAAAUCAUAAUAGUAACUUCUAUAGUUACAAAUGAAUAAUUCGUAUGUACGAGACGAAUUUCUAUACGAUUAUAUGUAAGAAAUUUGGUUUGAAAUCCAAAUAGACCAAUAAACUAUUGUCUAAGUCAAAAGAGAAUUAUGGACAAGAAGUCUAAAGGCCCUAGAUAUCAUAAUAGAAAUGAAUAGAGUUUAUUCUCUUAAGCUUAAUUCUCUGAAGAGAGUUGAUUGGAAUGCAUAUCCUGAAGAUAUUGUUUCCAGGGAAAGAAAUAUGAUAGUAAGUGUGGUUGUACUCUUUUUCCUUAUCAUGGUUUUUUUUUAUCCCAUUGGGUUUUUCCAUGACAAGGUUUUAACGAGACAACAAAGAACAUACAAAAGAUAGACAACCAAAGAGAAUGUUACAAUUUGAGAGAUGAAAAUCUAUCAUUGUUCUAAAGGUUCUAUGACUACUCAUUCGAGGGGGAGCUUACGUAGUUGUACUCUUUUUACUUUUACUACGGUUUUUCCCAUUGGGUUUUCCAUGACUAGGUUUUUAACGAGGCACCACGUAAUACAAGAUGGAUGAUCAAGGGGGAGUGUUAUAAGAUAAGCAUUGAAAUGAUCAUCCACUUCUUUACCAAACUCAAGCACUAUGAUCAUCCACCCCUUUACCAACUCAAGCACUAUGAUCAUCUACUCAUCAAACACUAUGAUCACCCACUCAUUUACCAAAUUAAGCACCAUCUUUGUUAUUUUAUGUAUUGUUGUUCACUAUAAAUAUCAUCACUCAUCUCACUCUUUUGUACACCAAAAACAAGAACAAGAGUUUAUAAUCAAAGAAUCAUUACAUCUUUUUCUUCUUCCUUAUAAUAAACUAUCUCCCUUAUACUAGUGUUAUUUGCUUCCUACGGGUAUUAAACUAAACUCUUAUUUAAAUUUCUCGAUAAUAUAAAUUAUAAGUUAUUUCAUAACAAUUUUUUAUUUUCCCCAUCAUACUCGAAAUCAUUUUUAAAAAGUUCUAGAAAAAUUAAAAAUAUUAUUUAAAUGUUUUGUAUUCAAAGAUUCCUUUGGCUGAUUACUUAGUGCUGCAUUUGUUAUUGGAAGACAAGUUAAAUCGAAGUACUCUUUCCGUGCAAAAACGAAAGCCGUCAUUUUAGGGAUGUGUUCUUUGUCGCUGCGUUAAUGUUCCCAAAUGCCCUUACCUUUUGCGUAUGGAGAUAUGGUAUUAUACCGUGUACUGUUUAAAAAAAAACGUUUACUGAAAAAAAAAAUGUUUCAGACAUUCAAGGGCAUUAUUGGAGUAUUUCAUGUAAAUAUAUAAAAAAAAGUUUGAAUGUUUCAGUUUAAUCAUUGCUCUUCCUGCCAACAGAAAUAAAAAGAUGACAUAGAGGCAAAAAAGAAUCGUUGCAUAAAAAUCCAAUAUCAGUAGGAAAUUUCCAUAACAUGCAGAUAAUGCAAUCCAUAACAAGGUAAGAUUUAGUGUAAUUGCCCUUUUAACAAAAAAAAAAGAUUUAGUGUAACAUUUUUUUUUGGUUAACAGUGUAAGAGCAGCAUUAGAUCAUGAUUAACCCGGAAUUCUUAGAGUGGGAUUUUUAGCGGAAGUUAAAAAACUGUUUUUUAACUUUUAACUAAAAAACUAAGAACCGGUUCUUAAAAUCCUUAUUUAAGAAUCGGUUCUUAGUUUUUUUAGUUAAAAGUUAAAAAAACAGUUUUUUUAACUUCCGUUAAAAACCUCGUCCUAAGAACUCUGGAUUAAUCACGUUCUUAGCGUUAUGUUUCUUUACAGGUGUGACAUGUAUAUAUUAAUAUUUUAAUGCAGACUAAUUAUCUGAAUUAAAUUUAAUUUUCAAAAUUUGUUGUAUCCAACACUAGCUAUCCAACACGUAUAGACCAACUCAAGAAAAAGGUACGAAAGACCCUUCACAAGCAUACGUUUCUUCCUUUCUUUUGUUUUUCUUUCCUGUUUUUCAUUUUAUAUUAAUUUUUGGAGUGAGGUAUUUUUGCAAAAUGUUACCACUGCGGAUGUUCUAAAGAUAUUUAAAAUAAAACAAUGAAUAAAGUAGAGUCAAAGCUUGUAUGUGUGAUGCACAUGUAUGUCUGUGGAUAGAUAUAAGAAAAGUAGGUACAUUAACACAAAAAUCCCCGUUACUAAAGUAUUUAACUGUUCAAGGUUCCUAACGUCUUGUGCAUUUGUGUGUAAACAAACACUAUUAUAUACACAUUUAAUAAAAGGUAAGCCUGAUCAUAUUUCUAAAUUAAUUUGUAAUCAUUGACUUCAAAAUUGCAAGAAAAACUAAGGAAAAUUGGGAUGUAUAAUCUUCAAACAAAUUAUAAUUCAUUUGAUAACUAAAAUCCAUAAUUUUCAUUUACAGUAUAUGUAUUUUAUGUAAUAAUUCUAUAUUAUCCUUCAAUUCAAUAUGUGUAACCUGAUGAAAAUUAUUUAUUAAAAAAAAUAUUAUAUAAAUAAUUUAAUAAAUUGUGGUUAUCAUUGGUGCACAUCUCUUUCUCUUCUUCUUUCUCUUCUCCUCCAAUCUCUGUUUCUUUUGCAUACAUACGAACACAAACCACUUCAUCACAAGUCGAAGAAAGAACAUGGAUUCUGGGCUUGUGGAAUUGAGUUUGGAAGAGAAGAUUGCACCGUAGAAAACGACGAAGUGACGUUACGAUUUCUUUUCUUUUUCUUUAAUGUUGUUGAUCUUGACUUUUUUCGUUAUUAUUUAAAUUGUUAUAGUAUGCUGUAUUGAUAUGGUAUGGUGAAGAAUAAUUACUCUGGACCAGUGAAUGCGUGUAUCACCAUGUCUGCAAAAAGAGAAAGAUGUGGAGAAGAUGAACUCGCUGACUAUACUAUAUGUAGUGAAAGAAAAUUAUAGUCUAGUACGAUUCUUAUAUUUUUGUACCAUUCGCAAGUACCAAACUAAAUAGUAUGCUACGGUUGUUGUACUAUUGUACCAUCGAUUUUUUGAUAAAUUCAUUAUUUAUCAAUUUCUAGUUUACAAAUAUGUACUAUACUAUGUAUUUCGUUCUAUACUAUUUGGGUUUAGAGUUUAUACUUUAGUUUAGGGUUUAGUGAUUAAGAUUUAGGGUUUAGUAUUUGGAAGGUGGGGGUUGAGGUUUGGGUUUAGUGACCGUAUUAUGUAUGUUCCAUUUGACGAUUAAUAAAGAGUGUUCUAUUUUGCUCACCAAUUUGUAAUAUACUAUGUAUUUUGUUCCAUUCUAUUUGGGUUUAGAGUCUAUAUUUGAGUUUAGGGUUUAGUGAUUAGGAUUUAGAGUUUAGUAUUUGGAAGGUGGGAGUUUAGGUUUGGGUUUAGUGAUAGCAUUUUUGGGUUUAGUAUUCAAAAGUUAGGUUUGAGUUUAGCAUUGAGGAGUUGUGUGUUGGAUUGGAGUCCUAUACUAUUCAAAAAUUAGGUUUGGAUUUAGUUUAAUAUUACAUAAUAUUAUAUACUAUUUUCAGAUUUUGAUAAUUGGAUUUAAGGUUUAUAUUUGGGUUUAGGUUCAGUAAUUAGGGUUUAGGGUUUAGUAUUUAGAUGGAAGGGCGAUGUUUAAAGUUUAAGGUUUAAUAUUUAGAAGUCGAGGUUUGGAGUAAAGUUUAGUAUUUACUAGAUGUGAGUGGAUUUUGAAUCAUAUUAUAUUUCAAUGAUAUUAUAUAGAAAAAUCAAAUGCAUAUUUAUGCGUUAAACAAAAGUGUGGUGUUGGUUGUAGUACAAUAAACAUUUCUUAAGUCAUAAAGAAAUAAAAGAGUCUUUCCUUAUCUCGUGAUAUUUUGACCAUUUAAUCCAUUCGAGAGAGAGAGAUAAACUCGUUUGAAAUCAAAUGUUAAUCAAUUGUGAUUAAGAAAUGUAUAUUGUGAUUAAGAAUUGUUAACAUUUCUUAAUCACAUAUAUGUAUAUAUAGCAGUGUGAUUUGAUUUUGUUGUUAUCUUCAUACGGUGCGUAUAUUGCGUUUUCAACGUUAAUGUACAUCAACUUUUAUCUUUACCCACCAUACAGUAUAUGGUAGAUACCACAACACGUAUAUUUAACUAAGAAUGAAGUGGUUAGUAAUAAUCUUGGUUUACAACCACAACCAUGCAUCAUUAUCUAAUUGUCUUAGUUUACCCUUUUAUUUUGACGGUCACUAAAUUUAGAGGUGGAUUGUUUGUGGUUUUUGCUUUAGUUUUUAGUUUUUGCUUUUGUAGAAACUAUUUUUCAUUCAAUCAAGUUUUUGGUUUUAGUUUUUGUUUUUAUAAAAACCAUUUGAGUUGCCAAUCAAGAUUUUCAAUAAAUAGAUUCCCUAAAAUUUAGGGAAACUAGUUUUUGAAAAGAUUAACCAAUUUAUGAAGAAAAAUCAAAAACCAACUUUUGUGAGCUUUUAUGAAGAAAAACGAAUUUUGAUUUUUUUUGUAGAAACUACUACAUUAUAAUUAAUUAAUAAUUAAUAAAUAAUAUUUUCAUAAAAAUUAAAAUUAUCAUAAAAUAUUUUGUACAUUAGAUAUCAUUUAAACAAUAAUGUGAAAUAUUUUAAUUUGUGUUUCAUAUCUGUAAAUAAAUUUAUAUAUUUUAUAAAUAAUAUUAUUUAAUUUUAAAACUUAGUUAUUAGUUUCUAUAAAUAAAACAAUUGAAUAAUUUUAAUAAUUAUUAGUCACAUUAAAAAUAACAAAAAAUUAUAAAAACAUAAUAUGUUUUAUUAAUAAAAUAUAUUGUAUAAUCCUGAAUUAUAAAAAUUGCCAUUCAACUUUAAGAAAAUAUAAAUAAUUUAUAUAAGAAAAUUUAUAAUUAGUUUCAAAAUUUUAUGUAUUUUUAUUUUUGUAUCAUUUAUAAUAUUUAUAUAAGAAAAACUAUUUCUAUUCAAGUUUUAAAAAUUAAAAAUAAUUUAUAUAAGAAAAAUUUCUAAGUAGUUUCAAAAUUUAAUAUUUUUAUUUUUGUGUAAUUUUAUAUAUAUUUUAUGAUUUAUAUUUUACUAUAAUAUAUUUUUUAUAAAAAUAUAAUAAUUAAAAUAUGUUAUUGUAUUUUAUUUUAAAAUAAUAAUCACAGUAUUUUGAUAAAUUUCAAUUGUAAAAUCUAAAUAUUUAUUUCUAUUUUAUUAUAUUAUUUUAAAGUAAUGUAUUAGUUAAUUUUUGAAAAUUUUAAAAAAAUACAGCAAAUCCAAAAACCAAAAUCUAAAUCUAAAAACCAAAAACCAAAAAUCAAAAGCUGAAAACCUAAAACCAAAAUCUAAAAACCAAAAACUAAAAUCUAAAAUCCAAAAACUAAAACUAAAAACUAUUGAAACAAUCAUCACCUUAAUAUCAUCAGUUGACUAAAAAAAAGAAACAUGUGUAUGUUAAUUUGUAAAUAGAUACCAUAUUCUAAAAUUAUAUAACUAUUCAAGAAUAUAAAAACAAAUCAUAUAUUUCAUAUGAACCAAUGAUAAAACGAUUAAAAAGAACAUCAUCCCCUGUCAACAUUAAUAAAUAGAUUGAUUCCGCUUCAUCUUCUAAUGUAAACAAAAAGUUUUCGAGUCCUUUCUGAAAAAUUUAUUUAAAAAUGUUCAACAAUUCAUACUGGACGAAGCAUGAAUUUCUCAGGAAAGAUUCAGGUUUCCGUUCGUUUUUAUUUGUUUGUUUCUUUUCCGAUCUUUAGAAAAUAAUCAUGACCGAAGAUAUGUAUUCAAUUUGUUCUUAACCCUCUUGCUUGGUUAAUCCUUUGCUUUGUCAAAAAGAAAACAUGAUCUAAGAGCAUGUCCAACGUGGAUAUCUAUCAAAAUAUCUAACUAUUUUAAAAUAACACGAAGAAAUUAGAAAAUAAAGAGAGGUAACAAGAUCCAUUUCGUAGCUAAGCAACUUUAAAAACUCUUCUUGAUACUUCUUUGCCACCUGCUAUCUGUUUAUUGGCUCUUUGCUAUCAUCUUUGUUAUGUAAAUAAUUUGCUUAGACUAGAAAUAAUUAAUUUAUUUAUUAGAUACCUAAAACAGGAUACUAACCGAUAAGAGCAUGAUUAUUGGGGAAUUCUUAGAGUGAGAUUCUUAGCGGAAUAUAAGAAUCCGUCUUUUAAUUUUUAACUAAAAAAAUUAAAAACCGGCUCUUAAAACUCUUAUUUAAGAACCGGUUCUUAGUUUUUUUAGUUAAAAGUUAAGAGACAUGUUCUUAUAUUCCGCUAAAAACUCCACCUUAAGAACCUUUCUUAUAGAACCGCUAAAAACUCCACCCCGAAGACCUAAAACAUGGAUACGGUACUAAAGGUUUUAAUGACAAGUUGAAUAGUGUUUGAAUAAAUUUUCUCAAUGCCUAGAAAAGAUAGACCCUUUAUUGACGCAAAACACAAUUGGGUUUGAACGAUGAAUAACUUCUAAGAAAGACGAAUGACUCCCCAUAUCAGCACCACUCAGAUACUCUGAUAUCCCGUUAUCUUAUUUAUAUAUAUAUAAGCACCAUUAGGGAGAAUCUCUAGUCUAAUAAACAAUAUGACAGAUUUAGAAGAAAGAUGUGAGAUACGUAACUUUAUAGAGAGACGAUGCUGAGUUUUGAAGAAACUCAUUUAUACAUUUUUCCGAUUGGAUUAAAAUAAAGAAAAUUUAAAAAAUUAAGAAAACAAAUUUUAAUUGGUCGAAAGACUUUAGACAGUCCAUGAACACUGUGGAUGCUUUGAGACGUAAUGUUAAAUGAUAAAAGAUAAAAGAUAAUGCAAACAUGUUCUUCUCUCUGAUGUAUAAUAAGGCAUGAUUAACCUCGGUCUUUUAUCCGGAGUUCUUAAUUUAUGAUUUGAUUUUUUUUUUUUUACACUUUACGACUAAGAAACAGCUCUUAUAUCUAUUAUUUAAGAGACGGUUCUUAGUUUUUCUUAGAUUUUAAGAAAAACUAAGAACCGUCAGUUAGUCGAAUAUAAAAAUCCUAGUUAAGAGACUUUGGUUAAUCAUGGUAAGAAAAAGCAUACACAUAAAUAUAUCCAUGAUAGACCAAAGAUUGCGGCUGAGAUGCCUCGGAUACCUUUGCUUUAUGUCAUGUGGUCGAAUAACUACAGUCUUGGCACACUAAAAUUAAGUUCUUUGUAUCCAAUCUUGUUCUUUUAGAAACCAACUACUCUGCUUUGGCUCACUAAAAGUUAACUAUUACACACACGCUUUUCUCUAAAAUAACUAGCGUCAUGAUCGUUAGCAUGCUAUCUGUUGUCAAAGGUAUUAUUGUUUAUAUUUUGGUUUGGUAAAAGAAAUUAUAAAAAUGUAUGUAGAGCUUUAUGUUCUUUUUUAACACCCAUGGCCUAUUGAAAUCAAAACUAAGAUUGUAACUCAACAAUCAAAGACUCAAACUCAAACUUGUUUAUUGAUAAUCUUUUUGAGGAAACUUAACUCAAAACCUCAAAAACUCUCUGACUCCAUAAGUUAUACCACAUCAUGGUAUCUCCUUAUAUAACAAUUCUAUUUUCCUAAACUCAUUAGGAAUUACAUAUUUCCUUUCUCUUAUAUUUCCUUUUAUCCUUAUCCUAAACUUAUUAGGAUAACUUGCACCUUAAGUCAUCUUUAAGCUUAUGUCAACAAUCUCCCCCUUAAGCUUAAGAACCUCAUUUGACACAUCUUGGACUCCAAUGAAGCUUCUCAUCUCCUUGAACUUGAUUCUCCCAAGUGCCUUAGUUAGGAUAUCCGCCUUUUGCUCUACGUCGGCUACAUGCUCAACAUCGACCAUUCCAUCUUCAACGCACUCUCUUAUAAAGUGAAACCUUUUGUGUAUAUGUUUGCUUCUUCCAUGGAAUACCGGAUUCUUGGUUAAGGCAAUAGCAAACUUGUUAUCAAUACGUACGACCGCCUUUUCUGUUCCAUUGUUUGUAAUCUCUCCAAGUAAUUCUUGCAACCAUAUUGCUUGCUUUGCUGCCUCUGUUGCAGCCAUAAACUCGGCUUCACACGAAGACAAUGCCACAAUUUCUUGUUUUGAUGAACACCAUGAGACUGGACAUUCAUUCAAAUAAAAGAUAUGUCCCGAGGUGGUUUUGCUGUCAUCUGGAUCCACAUUGUAACUACUAUCGCUAUAUCCCACGAGUCCUUUCUUGUUGUUACGCAGAUAGUUCAAACCGUAGGAGCAGCUACCGCGCAAAUAACGAAGCAAGUUCUUUAAGCACAGUCCGUAAGGCACCUUCGGUUGAUGCAUGUACCGACUCAACACACCAACGGAGUAUGCAAGAUCAGGUCUCGUGUGAAUCAUAUAACGAAGACAGCCGAUGUUCCUUCUAUACUCAGUAUCGUUGAUCCUUCUUCCUUAGAUGCUUUUGACAGUUGAACACCGGUCUCAAUAGGUAUAUGACUCAAGUUGCAUUCAUUCAUUCCAGCUUCUUCUAGUAUUCUUUUAGCAUAUCUCUCUUGUUUCAAUAUUAUGCCUUCCUUGGACUAAAUCACUUCAAUCCCUAGGUAAUAGGUAAGCUGACCGAGAUCACUCAUCUCGAAUCUAGUCGCCAUCUCAUCUUUAAACUCUUGUAUAAUACCUAAGCUUGACCCUGUAACUAGCAAAUCAUCAACAUAGACAACAACCAGAAGUGUACUUCCUCUCGAUUUUUUUCUGAAUAACGAUGGCUCCUUAGAACACUUAGUGAAGUUCAAUUCCUUCAGAAUUGAUUUCAGUUUGAUGUUCCAGGCCCUUGGCGCUUGUCUUAAGCCGUAAAGUGCCUUAUGCAAUCUGUAUACCUUGUCUUCACUACCUUUGAUCUUAAAACCAUCAUACUGAGACACAUAUACUUCUUCAUUUAAAUCUCCAUGUAGAAACGCCAUUUUCACGUCCAGAUGAUGAAUCUCCCAACCGUUGGACGCGGCUAAUGCAACAAUAACUCGCACAGUCUCCAUUCUUGCUACCGGAGCGAACACUUCUUCAAAGUCUAUACCAUGACGUUGUACGUAUCCUUUGGCUACAAGUCGCGCUUUGAAUUUCUUGAUACUUCCAUCUGCGUUGCGCUUGAUCUUGAAGAUCCAUUUUAAGCCAAUCGCUUUGCAUCCUAGAGGAAGAUCAACUAGUGUCCAGGUCUUAUUUUUCUUUAUCGACGUGAUUUCAUCUUCACAUGCUUCCCUCCACACUUUCUCGUGUCUUGCUUCAUUCCAGUCAACUGGUUCCUCAUUAAUCAACAAAAGUAUUCUUUCGGUCUCAAGUAUCUCGGUCAUCAAGACAUAAUCAUCAAGAUAUGCUGGUCGUUUACUUUCUCGAGUUGACCGUCUCAACUGUUGGGGCUCUGUAUCAAGAUCCUCUGUUUCACUGUCGGCUUCUUCUUCUUCUUCCUCGAGAGCAUCAUCUUCUUCUUUGUUUGUAACUUCCUGCUCAAGGUUCCGCGUCGCUUCCUUCUCAAGGCAACGAUCCGGAAAGAUCACCUCUUCAUGAUCAUCACGUGAAUCUCCUUCCAUUGCGUUCCAGUUCCAUGUUCUUUCUUCCAUAAAGACAACAUCCCUGCUCACUACUACCUUGCGUGUUUUAGGAUCUAACAAUCGAUAGGCUUUCGUUCCUGGUUCAGUUCCAAGAUGAACUAGCUCUCUUGAUCUGUCGUCUAGCUUUCUGAGGUGAGGCAUGUUGUUCUUAGCAUAACAGACACAGCCAAAAACUCGUAGAUGCCCCACGUUUGGCUUCUUCUUCUUGAAACACUCGUAUGGUGUCUGCAAUUGUAGGGUCCGCGUCCCAAUCCUAUUGAUCAAAUAUGUUGAAUGUCUCACCGCCUCUCCCCAUAAGUAGUUUGGUACCUUUGUAUGCUUCAUGAUACUUCUUGUCAUCUCCAUCAGUGUUCUGUUUCGUCUCUCAACGACGCCGUUCUGUUGUGGAGAAUAUGGUGUCGUUAAGUGAUGUUGAAUUCCAUGUUUGUCGCAGAACACUUAAAAAUCGUGAGAGUUGAACUCUCCGCCUCUAUCUGUUCGUAAAGUUUUGAUUGUAGCUCCCGACUCUUUCUCGAUAAUACGUUUGAAAGUUUGAAAGCGCUCGAACGCUUCAUCCUUUCCUUCCAUUAGUAUUGACCACAUAUACCGAGAGUGUUCGUCUAUCAAGACAAAGAUAUACCUCUUCCUUCCUGCGGUUGGUGGUGAUAUUGGGCCACAUAGAUCCCCAUGAACCAGCUCGAGUAUAUGCGUUGCACGAUAUGUUGUAGCCUUCGGGAAUGUUGCUCUUGUUUGUUUUCCCAUUAGACAAGAAGAACAUGUUUCUCUAUCGAUAUCUAUGUUGGGCAUACCAGUGACCAUCUCUUUGGUUAACAUCGACUUCAUAGUAUCCGUACUGACAUGACCCAACCUUGCGUGCCAAACAGUCGAAUCACUAUUCUCUGCUAGCUGUAAGCACUUCAUGCCUUCAGCCUCUAUAGUAACCUUAUACAAAUGAUUUGUUGAUCUCUUUGUUUUCACCAUCAAGUUCCCAUCUCGAUCAUACAAGGUUAAGUGAUCCCCUCUCAUUCUCACAUCGCAUCAUGAUUCUGUUGCUUGGCCAAGGCUGAUUAUAUUGCUCCUCAAGUCUGGUAUGAAGUAUACAUCUGACAGGAUCUUUCUCUUGCCGUCUCUGGUCAUAAAAAAGAUGGAUCCUUUGCCUUUUAUAUCGAUACGAUAAUCGUCUCCGAAUUUUACUUUCCCUGUAAUCUUUUCAUCCAAGUUCACAAAGAAAACGCGGUUUCCCGUCAUGUGGUUGCUUGCUCCAUUGUCUAAAUACCACACAUUAAUACAGUCUGAGCGUGUCUCGAAGUUGCUUGGUAUAACUUUCUUCUCGUUCAGCAAAACGAUCUCAUGGAUCAUUAGUUCCUCUGCUUCAUGUGUGCUAUCAUUCUCGUUCUCCUUUGUUUCUUGGACUUUCAGUAGUCGAUCUGGACAGUCAAUUACAUAGUGCCCGAUUUUGCUGCACCGAAAACAUACUACUCGAGACGCGUCUCUGCCCUGUCUCCAAUCACCUUCUCUGCCUUGUCUCCAAUCUCCUCGGCUGUUGUAACGUCCCCGUCCUCUUCCUCUAUUACCAAACCGGCCUCCUUGUCCUCGUCCUCUACCAUAGAUGUCUUGAUAAUUCCGUGAAUCAUUAGUGUACAUAAGUUUUUCUUGAUCAUCUUGUUGAUCAUCGUCCUGGAUUCUCUCUUCAUAAGCUUUUAACCUGCCGACGAUGUCUUCAAACGUCGUUGUGUUUAGAUCAAGCACUUGCUCAAGUGCAGCUAUGAUAUGUAUAUAUAUUUUUCUUUGGAAGACUACUUAAGAAUUUCUUGACUAGCUUUGGUUCUUCCAUGUUUUCUCCCAGUGCCGCAGACUUUGAGGAUAGCUCCGCAAGUUUACCCGAAAAAUCAUCGAUUGAUUCUGUGUCUUUCAUCUUCAUCUUGUUAAAGUCAUCCAUUAGCGUCUGCAGUCUUGCCUCUCGAACUCUAUCAGCUCCCACAUGUCUAGCUUGUAUCGCUGUCCAUACUUCCUUUGAGGUGUCGAGAUUUCCAACUUGCACGAGCCAUAUCACUCUUGUCUCCAUCGUCUGAUCCAGGGUCUAUAGUAUCCCAAACUUUAUGUACCUUUAGCAUCACUUUCAUACGCAUGCUCCAGACUGUAUAGUUGGUAGCGUUGAGCAUUGGGCACUUGAUAGAAGGAUUGUUCUCCUUCGGACGGGUGGUAACGACAUUUAGGUCUCCUUCGGAAACUUAACUCAAAACCUCAAAAACUCUCUGACUCCAUAAGUUAUACCACAUCAUGGUAUCUCCUUAUAUAACAAUUCUAUUUUCCUAAAUUCAUUAGGAAUUACAUAUUUCCUUUCUCUUAUAUUUCCUUUUAUCUUUAUCCUAAACUCAUUAGGAUAACUUGCACCUUAAGUCAUCUUUAAGCUUAUGUCAACAUGGCCUUCUUCCCGUGCGACGACGGUGUGGAGAUUUUUCUCGACUGGAUAAAGAGAAAAAAAUAUUUGGUCAAUAACAUUCAUAAUCUUUCUAGACAUUAUAUUAUUACAAUAUUAUUUAAUGUCUUAGAAACCAAAUUCAUUCAACUAAUUUUACAACCCUGCCCGAGUUUGUCAAUUUUUUAUCAAUUGACUGAAAAUUUAACCUUGUUUGAUAUGUUUUACCUUAAAUCAAGUCAGUUAUGGUUUAAGAUGUAAAUACAUAUAUAUACUCCCUCCAUUGUUUUUAAUAUAAAUCGUUUUAGAAUUGUGCGCAUAGAUUAAGAAAUCAUUAAUUUUUUAUAUUUUCUAAACAAAAACAUCAUUAAAUAUUUACCUAACCACAAAUCAACCAAUAAUAAAAUAGAAUGUAUAUUAUCAUUGGUCAUAUAACAUUAAGUGUUAAUAAAUUUUACAUAGAAAACCGAAACGUCAUAUAAUUUGGAACAUAAAAAUUUGUCUAAAAUGACUUAUAUUAAAAACCGGAGGGAGUAAAUAAAUUAAUAUGACAUGAGCUUGCUAGGUGCAUAUUUACUAAAUUCUUAUGUUGGAAACUUUGUUAUUGCUUCACCCAAUUGCUGAAAAUGGGCUCCACGCCCAAGCCUCUGCUCUCAUUUACUCUAUAAAACCAUCUGCUCUCUUCAUAACCCCAAUAACUCGAUCCAAAUUCCCAAAGCUUUUUUCUAUUUCACCUACCUUUCUCCUCGAAAAUAAAAAAACCCUGACUUGUUUACCAAGUUAACUCCAAAAUGCAGCCGCAAGCAGACGUUUUCAGCCUCCAUAACUACAUAAACUCCUCGAACCCAUCUCCAUAUCCUUCCCAUUUCGCUUUCUAGACAUUAUAUUAUUACAAUAUUAUUUAAUGUCUUAGAAACCAAAUUCAUUCAACUAAUUUUACAACCCUGCCCGAGUUUGUCAAUUUUUUAUCAAUUGACUGAAAAUUUAACCUUGUUUGAUAUGUUUUACCUUAAAUCAAGUCAGUUAUGGUUUAAGAUGUAAAUACAUAUAUAUACUCCCUCCAUUGUUUUUAAUAUAAAUCGUUUUAGAAUUGUGCGCAUAGAUUAAGAAAUCAUUAAUUUUUUAUAUUUUCUAAACAAAAACAUCAUUAAAUAUUUACCUAACCACAAAUCAACCAAUAAUAAAAUAGAAUGUAUAUUAUCAUUGGUCAUAUAACAUUAAGUGUUAAUAAAUUUUACAUAGAAAACCGAAACGUCAUAUAAUUUGGAACAUAAAAAUUUGUCUAAAAUGACUUAUAUUAAAAACCGGAGGGAGUAAAUAAAUUAAUAUGACAUGAGCUUGCUAGGUGCAUAUUUACUAAAUUCUUAUGUUGGAAACUUUGUUAUUGCUUCACCCAAUUGCUGAAAAUGGGCUCCACGCCCAAGCCUCUGCUCUCAUUUACUCUAUAAAACCAUCUGCUCUCUUCAUAACCCCAAUAACUCGAUCCAAAUUCCCAAAGCUUUUUUCUAUUUCACCUACCUUUCUCCUCGAAAAUAAAAAAACCCUGACUUGUUUACCAAGUUAACUCCAAAAUGCAGCCGCAAGCAGACGUUUUCAGCCUCCAUAACUACAUAAACUCCUCGAACCCAUCUCCAUAUCCUUCCCAUUUCCCCAUAUCCCCGCCAUAUCCGAUCAACGGUCUAAACCUGAAUCCCUUCUACGGAAUUCAAAGUGCUACUAACAAUCCACAAUCCAUGAGCCUAAGCAGCAACUCGACAUCAGAUGAAGCAGAAGAGCAGCAGACGGACAAAAACAUAAUCAACGAGCGGAAGCAGAGAAGGAUGAUAUCAAACAGAGAAUCAGCAAGGAGAUCGCGUAUGAGGAAGCAGCGACACCUUGACGAGCUUUGGUCUCAGGUGAUGUGGUUCAGGGUCGAGAACCAUCAGUUACUUGAUAAGCUUAACAAUCUCUCUGAGUCUCACGAAAAGGUUCUUCAAGAGAAUGUUCAGCUCAAAGGGGAAACAUCUGAGUUAAAGCAGGUGAUUAGUGAUAUGAAAAUUCAAAGCCCUUUCUCUUGCUUCAGAGACGAUAUAAUCCCCAUUGAAUAGAGCAUUUUUACCCCCAUGCACCGACGUUCAUAUAUGAAUUAUGUGUUUUAUAUUCGGAGCAUUUUUUUAGUUUACCAAGACUCCAAGAGGAAUAUAUAUAAGUAUAUAUUGAAAAAACAUUAGUAUUAUUGAAGAAUAUAUAUAAGUGGUGUUGGUCAAAUCAUGAGUCAUGUUUGUGAUGAGGACAGAGUAAGGUGGUGUAUGUUCUGCUUCAUAUUACAAAAAUUUCCAAAUUUCCAACUACAAACCAACACACAGACUCACAAUCCCACUCUAAGAGACCUGCAUUAAUCAUGAUUUUAUAGGUUAACACAUGUAUUUUAUGUAAGCUGACAUCAGUUACAUGUGAUUAUCUUUUGGACCAAGCAAAAAGAUGAUGUCUUUGUGGAUUGAUGAUGAUUUAUUUUAUGAAACUUUCUAAAUUUGAUUAUAACUGGCAAAGACCAAGGACAAGCUUAUCUGUAACAGUUAAGUAUGUAGACCCAUGAAGAACAGUAUUAAAAUUCAAUAUUUAAAAUUUUAUUAAACGAUUUUUUUCACUUGGAUUUUUAUUUAUGGUCUCUUGGAGGCUUGGAGCAUAAUGAGAAAUUGAUGAGAAUAAGUAAUGCUAUAGGAGAUGACAAAAAAAAGUAAUGCUAUAGGAAUUUGUGGUAACAUUGUCUACUGGUAAUCCAUAUUUAUACUGAGAUAUGAUAUCCAAAUACAUCUUCUUGAGAUUAGUUUUAAGGGCUUUUUGGAAAAUUGACUAGUCAAACGUAAAACUAAUCCAUGUUUUUCUAGAUUUUUUUUUGUCCUAUUCACUCCACAAGUUCAUAUUAUUCACGAAAAUAUCAUUACUUUUUUUUUCUUUUCGAAAAUGGCAUUUUUACUCUCUCAACCUCAUCAUCUUCAAGUAUCUACAAGAUUGCCAUUGCCAUCAAUACACCAACCACCAUGAACAACCAAUUUGAAACUCUUAAUACACCUCAAAUCGAUUUACACUCAUUCUUUCUUAAUUCUUAUGAACUAAAAACAACAUAUCUUUCACUUUCUCUCAAUAUUCAUCAAAAAAAAAACUCAAAAUUUUGAUUCUAAAAUUUUUAUGGUUCAUAGAGCCAUUGAAACUUACGAUUCUUGGUGGGUCACUUUUGUUUGAGAUUCUGAGUGCUUGGAAAAGACUUUUGUGUGCUAAACAAGUUAUCUCACUGGUUGAAACUAUGAAAUUAGUUUUUUUUUUCAGAUCUGUUCGUCCAGACGACUUCCGGGUAAGUCGUCUGGCUGUAGACGACUUACAUGGAAGUCUUCUGGUCAAUGCAGAGGUUAAUUUUGCAAUUGACUUUUAAAUGUGUUUUUCUAGAUAACUUACAUGGAAGUCGUCCAUCUUUGUUUGUUAAAAAAAAUUCGAGACGACUUCCAUGUAAGUCGUAUAAGGUAAACGGGUUAGUUUUGCAUUUGAACGAAUUGUGUCAGAAAUUUGACUUUUCCUGGACGACUUACAUGUAAGUCGUCCAUGAUUUUAUUCUGAGAUUCCGGUCAAACGUUGCUUAUCAUGGACGACUUCCAUGUAAGUCGUCGGACGGACGACUUUCGUGUAAGUCAUCUAGAAAAAAAUAAUAUUAUUUGUUUUAUUUUUCAAUUGCAAAACUAACUUAAAUGGACGAUUUCCUAGAAGUCUACCAGACGACCUCCGUGGAAGUCAUAUGCGUCAAUGUUUAAUAAACUUUCAUUUUCUCUAAAACUAUAAAGACUUUUUAAUUGUUUUUUUGUUAAUUCAUGUAUAUUAGUCAAUAUUGGGGCUACUGAAUGAAAUUUAUAACUUAAUUGGUGAUAUUUAUGAGUUUACCAACAUUCAUGCUUAGUAAAGUUUCUAGCUAAUUGAGAAGACUUCUACGGAAGUCUUCUACGUUAGUUUUUAUAAAUUUGUUAAGUAACUUUAAGAUAUAUUUAUUUAAUUUUCAAAAGUAUUAAGUAACUUCAAGAAUAUUAAGUAACUUCAAGAAUAUCAAGUAACAUGGUUUAAUGUGUCUUCUUAGAUCAUAAGAUAUACUUUUUACUUAUGUAUCUAAUGAAAGUGUUCUAUCUUUGAACUUAUGUAAUGUUUUAUUUUUUGUGAAUUUGACUAAGUUUUCUUGAGAAUUCUUCUCCCUUAGUUGUAAUAAAUUUGAAAAUUAAUGUAAUAAAUUUGAUUAAUUUUUUGUGUUAUUGUGUUUUGCUGUUGUAUCAAUAACUUCAAUUAUGUCAAGUAAUUUUGGCAAAAUAAUAUUGUGGAAAAUGAACAUAUUUACCAAAUAUUUCAUUAAUAUCUCUUCAAAUUUACAAAAAAAAAGUCACAACUAAAGGAGUACACAUGCAAAUCACAAAACAGACCACAAACAAAACUAUUAUAGAUCAUUCUUCUACAAAGACAAGCUUAGACUCCACUUGAUAUGGAAGAAGACUCCAUCAGAAGACUUCCUAAAAGUCGUCUGGAAGGAAGUCUUCUAGUGCAUUAUAUUUUAGAAGACUUCCGAGAAAACUUCCCAUAAGUUUUCCAAAGUCUGAUCUAGAUCUGAAAAACAUGUAUAUCAAACCCAGAUCUGAAAAACUUGCAUAUCAUAUCAAAAACGUUCAAAUGGUUUAAAACAUAAAAAAUGAGUGGAAAAUUAGAUAGAUAUACUUUUAUAGAACACACAAAGUACAUAUCCAAGUGGAAGAUGAGAACCAUUAAGAACAUGAAAAAAAAGAUAGAUUAAUGAGAAAGACAUGAGACAAAAAUGAAAAAUAAUGAACAUAUUUACCAAAUAUUUCAUUAAUAUCUCUUCAAAUUUACAAAAAAAAAGUCACAACUAAAGGAGUACACAUGCAAAUCACAAAACAGACCACAAACAAAACUAUUAUAGAUCAUUCUUCUACAAAGACAAGCUUAGACUCCACUUGAUAUGGAAGAAGACUCCAUCAGAAGACUUCCUAAAAGUCGUCUGGAAGGAAGUCUUCUAGUGCAUUAUAUUUUAGAAGACUUCCGAGAAAACUUCCCAUAAGUUUUCCAAAGUCUGAUCUAGAUCUGAAAAACAUGUAUAUCAAACCCAGAUCUGAAAAACUUGCAUAUCAUAUCAAAAACGUUCAAAUGGUUUAAAACAUAAAAAAUGAGUGGAAAAUUAGAUAGAUAUACUUUUAUAGAACACACAAAGUACAUAUCCAAGUGGAAGAUGAGAACCAUUAAGAACAUGAAAAAAAAGAUAGAUUAAUGAGAAAGACAUGAGACAAAAAUGAAAAAUUCAUAUAAAGUUUAGUGUUUUCAAGUCAAAGAGAUUAAAGUGGGUUUGGAGAGUUUUAGUUUGGAAAAAAUGUAUAAGCUUUAUGCAACAGAAGGUUACCAAAUGAAGAAAAAUCAGACAUAAAAACUUACCAAAAACGCUUAGAUUUGUUAUGAAAGGGAUACAUGGGAGAAGACUCAUUCAGAAGACUUCCUGGAAGUCGCCUGGGAGUCUUCUAGCCCAUAACUCUUCCAGAUCUGAAAAACCUGCAUAUCCAAAUCCAGAUCUGAAAAACCUGCAUAUCCAAAAACGUUCAAAUGACUUAAAAACAGAGAAAAUGAAUAGAAGAUUAGAACACCCAAAAAUACAUAUCUAAAAUUAAUAGAUAUACCUUUAAAUGAGCGAAAGAUGAGAACCAUGUGAUAAAAAAAUAUGCAAAAACAAGAUAAAUUAGUGAGAAAGACAUGAGACAAAAACAAUAAAUUGAUAUAAAGUUUGAUGUUUAUAAGUUCAAAGAGAUUAGAGAGAGGUUGGAAAGUUUUAGAAUGAGGAACAUUACAUUUUUGUUGCAGCCAUUUGAGAGGAGGAGAGAGAAUGUAUAAUUUUUUCUUUAUAUAGGGAGACAAAAAAUCUAAUUAGGUUAAAUAUUUUCGAUUCAGAAGACUUUCAAGUAAGUCUUCCUGGAUGACUUUCAAGUAAGUCGUCUAGAAGACUACAAUAUUUUUAGCGUAAAACUAAAAUAUUUUUAGCGGGAAACUAAAAAAGAAAACUUCCUAGAUGACUUACGUGUUAGUCGUCUAGACCCUAAACAUAACCUCUAAACUAAAUUAACUAACUAAACACUUCAUAAAAUCAAAUUAAACAUAAAAAGUGUUUACUAUAAACAUAAAUAAACACAUAGGUAAAAAUUUAAUUUUUCAAAAAAACAUUUAAGCUUUCCAAAAUCUAACCCUAAGAAUACAUACAAUACUACAACUUAUGUUGCCAAACCCUAAACCAAAGAAUAUCAUGAUUAACUACUUUCACUCAUCUAUGUUGAAAAUUAUUUAAUUUUAUUAUAUCUUAAUUUACAUCACUUAAAAUUGUUUAUAAUUACAUGAUUUUAAUUUUUCACUUGUCAAAAUAUUUUUUUAAAAAUUUAAAAAUUAUUUUUAAGAUCAACAACACCGGACGACUUCCAGUAUCUCAGAAGACUUAGACGACUUACCGGAGCUAUAUUCGUAAAAAUGAGUUCUGGUUUUUUGUUUGGUUCUAAGGGGUUGAGUGUAUUUUCACAAGGCUUUUAGGUUAGUUUUGCAUUUGAUUCAAGUUUGGGUAUAAGUUUGCAUUUCAAAUCAAAUUUUGAGUCAUAUUUGCCAAAUUCUCCUAGUUUUAGAUAGGUAAUGCUGACAAAUUAUACAAAUUUUAAUUUAGAUUCUACUAGAGAGGUUGCUGAUGAAAAUAAAUUAGGAUAUGAAAGUCAUGAAAUUUUUCCUGUUCAAAAAGGUAAAACACAUAUAUAGCUGAGUAACGGAACUUUAAUUUGCAAUUGUUUUAGGGUUUUUUGCCAAAACUAACCCACAACUUGAUUUUAAUCUCAAACCUAUACCCAAACUUGAAUCAAAUGCAAAAUUAACCUAAAAGCCUAGUGAAAUUACAGCUCAACCCCUUGUGACCAAACAAAAAAACAGAAGCCAUUUUUACGAAUAUAGUCUCAGUAAAUCGUCUGAGUCGUCUGAGAUGUUGGAAGUCGUCUGGACGACUGAAGUGUAAGUCGUCUGGUACCAGUUUAUUUUAAAAAUAAUUUAUAAAUCUUGUAAAAAAAUAUUUUGAUGCGUGAAAAAUAAAAAUCAAGUAAUUAUAAACAGUUUUAAGUGAUAUAAAUUAAGAUAUGAUAAAAUUGAUUUGUUUAGAAGAUAGAUGAAUGGAAGUAGUGAAUCAUGAAAUACUUUGGUUUAGGAGUUUGGCAAACAUAUGCUGUAGUAUUGUAUGUAUUGUUAGGUUUAGAUUUUGGAAAACUAAAAUGUUUUUUCAAAAAUUAGUUUUCACCUAUAUGUGUUUAUUUCUGUGUAUAGUAAACACUUUUCAAGUUUGAUUUGGUUUUAUGAAGUGUUUAAUUAGAUAAUUAAGUUUAGGGGUUAUGUUUAGGGUGUGGACGACUUAUAUUUCAGUCGUCUGUUGAAUAAUUUACCCGGACGACGUAUAUUUCAGUCGUCCACAUCGUACCGAACCUUUAAUUUUACCAAUGUACGUUUUAACCUAACCGGAUCAUUUUACUCGGACGACUUACAUUUCAGUCGUCUGGUGAAGAAAUUAAAACAGACGACUUACAUGUAAGUCGUCCAAAUAUUCCCGCCUAAAAUUUUUUAAAAAAAUUAUUUUCCCGCUUAAAUAAUUUAAACCAGACGACUUACUUGUAAGUCGUCUGGAAAGUCUUCUAUUUUAGUUUCCCGCUAAAAAUAUUUAAUUUCCCGCUAAAAAUAUUAAACUCUUCUGGACGACUUACAUGUAAGUCGUCUGUUUUAAUUUCUUCACCAGACGACUGAAAUGUAAGUCGUCCAGGAAGUCGUCUGAGUCAAAAAUAUUUAAUCUAAUUGGAUUUUUUGUCUCCCUAUAUAAAGAAAAAUUUACACAUUCUCUCUCCUCCUCUCAAAUGGCUGCAACAAAAAUGUAAUGUUCAUCAUUCUAAAACUCUCCAACCUCUCUCUAAUCUCUUUGACUUGAAAACACCAAACUUUAUAUGAAUUUUUCAGUUUUGUCUCAUGUAUUUCUUACUAAUCUAUCUCUUUUGCAGGUUUUUAAUCAAAUGGUACUCAUCUUCCACUAAUUUAAAGGUAGAUCUAUUAAUUUUAGAUAUGUAUUUUUGUGUGUUCUAUAAAUGUAGAUUUAUCUAAUCUUCCACUCAUUUUCUCUAUUUUUAAGUCAUUUGAACGUUUUUGGAUAUGCAGGUUUUUCAGAUCUGGAUUUGAUAUGCAGGUUUUUCAGAUCUGGAAGACUUCUUGGACGACUUACCUGUUAGUCGUCUGGAAGUCGUCUGGACUUCUUGGAAGUCUUCUGACAAAGUCGUCUGGACUUCCAGGAAGUCGUCUGGACUUCCAGGAAGUCGUCUGGACUUCAUGGAAGUCUUCUGACGAAGUCUCCCUUUCAUAAUAGAUCUGAGCGUUUUGGUAAGUUCUUAUGUCUGAUUUUUCUUCAUUUGGUAACUUCUUGUUGUAUAAAGUUCUUACUUUUUUCCCAAACUAAAACUCUCCAAACCCACUCUAAUCUCUUUGACUUGAAAACACCAAACUUUAUAUGAAUUUUCCAGUUUUGUCUCAUGUCUUUCUUACUAAUCUAUCUUUUUUGCAGGUUUUUAAUUAGAUGGUACUCAUCUUCCACUAAUUUAAAGGUAGAUCUAUUAUUUUUAGAUAUGUAUUUUUGUGUGUUCUGUAAAGGUAGAUUUAUCUAAUCUUCCACUCAUUUUUUCUGUUUUUAAGCCAUUUGAACGUUUUUGAAUAUGCAGGUUUUUCAGAUCUGGAUUUAAUAUGCAGGUUUUUCAGAUCUGGAAGACUUCUGGGACGACUUACUUGUUAGUCGUCUGGAAGUCGUCUGGAAGUCGUCUGGACUUCUUAAAAGUCGUCUGGACUUCCUGUAAAGUCGUCUGGACUUCCUGUAAAGUCGUCUGGAAGUCGUCUGAACUUCCUAAAAGUCUUCUGGCAAAGUCGUCUGAACUUCCUGGAAGUCGUCUGGACUUCUUAGAAGUCGUCUGGACUUCUUAAAAGUCGUCUGGUCUUGUCUACUCAAGUGGAAUCCAAGCUUGUCUUUGUAGAGGAAUGAUCUAUAAUAGUUUUGUUUGUGGUCUGUUUUGUGAAUUGCAUGUAUACUCUUUUAGUUGUGAAUUUUUUGUAAAAUCAGUAAUAAUGUUUUCCAAGAUGUAUUAAAUGUGCUAACAAUGUGUUUACACAUUUACAAAUCAAUGAAAUAAUAGACUUCAGUAGCCUUUUUCUUAUCUUUGGAUCUCUCAUAUGCAAUAAUAAACUCCAAUGGCCUUUUUCUCAUCUUAAUAAACAAGAAUGUUGGUAAGAGAUGGAAACAAACAAUAGUAACUAGUCAAAGCAUAUCAUAUUUUUUAUAAGUUUGCAUUGAAAAACUUAGUCAAAUUUAGUAAAACUAAGGGAGAGAACAUAUUUUGUAAAUAUGAGUUUUACAUAUCUUGAAGUUACUUAUCACUCUUAAAAAUACAAGUUAUUCAAAAACUAACGUAGAAGACUUAAAAACUAGUGGAGAAGACGCGGACGACUUCAAUCUAAGUUGUCUAGACGACUAAACUAUAUGUCGUCUGGUCAACGCAGAGGUUAUUUUUGCAAUUGACUUUGAAAUCUGUUAUUUCGGACGACUGAAAGUUAAGUCGUCUACUAUUGUUUGGUUAAAAAAAAAACUCCAAAAAAGCUAGACGACUUACAUUUCAGUCGUCAGAGGUUAGUUUUGCAUUUGACUAGAUUAUUUCAGAAGUUUGACUUUUUGGACGACUUACAUUUCAGUCGUCUAGUGAAAAUUAAAAUAAUAAUAUUUUUUUAAAAGUAGACGACUUACAGUUAAGUCGUCAUAGGUUAGUUUUGCAAUUGAAAAAAAAAACUUCAAGAUUUAAUUAUAUACAGACGACUUAUAAUUCAGUCGUCCACGAGACGACUGAAAUGUAAGUCGUCCAGGAUUUACGAGGUUUGACCAGAAUCUCGGAAAAAAAUCCUGGACGACUUACAAUUAAGUCGUCUGGUGGACGACUGAAUUAUAAGUCGUCUGUGUAUAAUUAAAUCUUGAAGUUUUUUUUUUCAAUUGCAAAACUAACCUAUGACUACUUAAUUGUAAGUCGUUUACUUUUAAAAAAAUAUUAUUAUUUUAAUUUUCGCCAGACGACUGAAAUGUAAGUCGUCUGGGGAAGUCAAACUUCUGAAAUUAUCCAGUCAAAUGCAAAACUAACCUAUGACGACUGAAAUGUAAGUCGUCUAGGUUCUUUGGAAUUUUUUUUGAAACCAAACAAUAGUAGACGACUUAACUUUCAGUCGUCUCAGGUUACAGAUUUCAAAGUCAAUUGCAAAAAUAACCUUUGCGUUGACCAGACGACUUCCAGGUAAGUCGUCUACAGCCAGACGACUUCCCAAGUAAGUCGUCUGACGAACAGAUCUGGAAAAAAACUCGAUGUCAUACCUUAAAUUGGUGAGAUAAGUUCCUUAGCAUACAUAAGGCUUCUCCAAGCACACAGAAUCACAAACGAAAGUAACCCACCCAGAAUCGUUAGCUUCUAUGACUCUAUGAACCAUAAAAAAUUUAGAAUCAAAAUCUUGGGUUUUUUUAGCUCAUUGUGGAGAGAAAGUGAGAGAUAUGUUGUGUUUAGUUCACAAGAAUGGAAAAAGAAGAAGGGUAAAUCGAUUUUGAGAGCAUUAAGAGCUUCAAAUUGGUUGUUCAUGGUGGUUGUGGUAUUGAUGACAAUGACAAUCUUGUAAUUACUUGAAGAUGAUGAGGGUGAGAGAGUAAAGAUGUUAUUUUCGGAAAAAAAAAAAAUUGAUGGUAUUUUCGUAAAUUAUAUGAACUUGUGGGGUGAAUAGGGCUAAAACAAUUUUCAAAACAAAAGGAGGUUAGUUUUGUGUUUGACUUUAAGUUGUAGGUCAAUUUUGCAAAAAGACCAUUGUUUUAUUCGUCUGUUAAUUAGACAAAAAGAUAUAAAUAAUAAGAUCGCAAAAACUAAAAUCAAAUGAGACCUUUUUGUAAGUUUUUUUAUUAAAGACUUGUGAGAUUAAAACAUUGAAAUGGAUGUUUACAACAUAGCUUAAGCCGGUGAAGACAUGUAAUCUACUGGUUUGUGCUACCAUAUGUUGUGUACCAUACGUACACUUAAACAACAUUAUAAUGCUACAUGUUUGGACCGUUGUGUCUGCAUUCACUUUGUUCACGUGCAUUUUCACUUCAAAUGCACACUUUUGAUAUAAACUUGUAUAACAUUAGCGUCGUUAUCGUUAGUUAUGCUAUCUAGAUGGUUUAGUGGUUUCCUCGGAAUGAAAAAUCGCGUUAUUAGUCUAAGUUAGGGAUCUAUUCCCCUCCAUUGAAAAACUGCUAAAUCCAUGUUUGGCUAGUUUGCAUUAGUCGGGUUUCGGCUACCUAUCUCGUUUAAUCAAAAAUUAAACUUGUAUAACGUAAUAGAGUACAUCAAAAUCUACAAAUAUAUAAUGGCUUUUAAAGAUUGGUCAACAACAAAUUUCUAAAAAAAAGAUUGGUCAACAACUACAACUGGAAACUAUUUUAUGUAUUACAAUGUAAGCCCAAACCUAUCAUGCCCUCUCCGAUAGAUAGACAAAGAAACAAUCUUACGUACGAUAAAAUCUUACGAAAUGAGUGGUCAACAAUACAAACAAACUUUUUUUUCAAAAUGAUGUUGUGAGUUUCCUUGCCAUAAGCUUACUAGCCAAGAAACCUACGAUCGCACAUAAAAUGUCCUUUAAUAUAUAGCUUUAGAAAAAAAAAAUCAAUCAAUCUUUCAGCUUUCUUUCCUCUUUCUUUGUGGAAUCGAGCACGCAGAUCGUAAUGUAGUGGAAGACUAAAAGACACAUUAAAGAAAGAUAGAGUCACCUUUAACUUCUUUUUUCUUUGUUGUCAUUCAUGAAUACGUAUAUAUCUGAUGUUCUCUAGAUCAAGACUAAUCUUUGGUAUUACCAAAAUAUUUAAACCUUGUAAAACCUCCACCGUUCCACGUUGUAGUCUACUCGAAUCCGGGGCUAAGGGCAUCUCCAACCUUACUCUAUUUUUGACUCCAAACUCAAUUUUAGAGUAAAAUGUUUUUCAACUCCACUCUAUAUUCAACUCCAAAAUAGAGUAACCCUAUAUUUUAAGUCUGAGUAAUCUUACCUAUUACUCCAUUUUGGAGUUGAACUUUUUCUGUUUAUGAAAUGGUCUUUUUAAUUUUUGAUGUUUUUAUUUCAUACUUAAAAUAAUAUGACAACAUGAAAAAUAUAAUACUCCACAAAAGAUUAUUUAAUAGUUUACAUAAAAUAUGCAUAAACUCAUAAAAGUCAAAAUUAAGAAUAAAUAAUAUAAAAUAAAUAUAAUAUAAAUAAGUAAUUUAAUAAUUCGGUAAAUUGUUUUCGAAACUACCAAAAUUGGUGAAGUAUUAUUCAAACGGAGUAAAUGAGUUUUUUAACCUUGUGGAUCAAAAUUUUGAUUGAUAACAUUUGUACUUGUUGAACUUGAUAUAUGCACAAACAAUAUGACCCAAUACAUAAUUCAAAUUACAAAACAAAACUUUGUUUUUUCUUUAUGUUCUUUUAAUGCAUAUAAAUAUUUUUGAAUUAGAAAAAUUGCAUAUGAUAAAAACUGCACGAAUUGAAAUUGGAAGAUAAUCCCUAGUUGUAUUUUUAAUGAUAAACAUUUAAUUUAAAUAAACAUAUUAUUAUGGAAAUUUUGUAAACAUAAAAUAGUUGGGUUAAUUGUUAAAUUUUUAUAAGUUGAAGGUACUACUAACAAUUAUUAACUAAAUAAAAAAUAAUAUUUUUUGGAGUAAAAAAUGAAAUAAUACAUUGGAGUAAAACUCAACUCUAUUUUGGAGUUACACCAUUUUGAAGUAAAAUUUGGAGUAAUACAUUGGAGAUGCUCUAAGAACACAAAUAAAACAACUCCAGACUACGGAGCAGCUAACGUUAUACUUAGAGAAGGACAACUUUACAAAACGUAAAUCACCCAAUAGAGGUGGAAGAAAAGAUAAACAAAAGACACAUUAAGCUUAUAUCAUGUUCAUUUCAUAGUUGCUGACGAUCGAUAUCAAAUGUUUAAGCGUUUUAGUCGUCAAACAAGUGAUUAAUAUACAAAAUAAAACUUUGCUGGUCGAUCGCUAGCUCCUGGAAAACGAACAAACCAUAUUAGCUAAUUCCUUCCGCUAGUGGCUGUCGCUGAUCAUUUUGUCAACAAGUGUGAAACAGAUCAAAGCCUUUAAUCUCAGUAUUAACUACAUACAAUUGAUUACAGAAACAUAGAAGACAUAUGAUUAGCUUUAUUCAUGACAGCACU